rnacentral:rRNA from 1 species
UACGUAGGUGGCGAGCGUUGUCCGGAUUUACUGGGCGUAAAGGGAGCGUAGGCGGACUUUUAAGUGAGAUGUGAAAUACUCGGGCUCAACUUGAGUGCCGCAUUUCAAACUGGAAGUCUAGAGUGCAGGAGAGGAGAAUGGUAUUCCUAGUGUAGCGGUGAAAUGCGUAGAGAUUAGGAAGAACACCAGUGGCGAAGGCGAUUCUCUGGACUGUAACUGACGCUGAGGCUCGAAAGCGUGGGGAGCAAACAGG